rnacentral:rRNA from 1 species
GAUGAACGCUGGCGGCGUGCUUAACACAUGCAAGUCGAACGUGAGAAUAGCAAUAUUUGAAAGUGGCAAACGGGUGAGUAACACGUGGGAACCUGCCUCGAAGUGGGGGAUAACGAUUGGAAACGGUCGCUAAUACCGCACGGUUCUGCUCUGAUGGGAAUGGAGCAGAUAAAGAUUUAUCGCUUUGAGAGGGGCCCGCGGCCGAUUAGCUAGUUGGUAAGGUAAAGGCUUACCAAGGCGAUUAUCGGUAGCUGGUCUGAGAGGACGAUCAGCCACACGGGAACUGAGACACGGUCCCGACUCCUACGGGGGGCAGCAGUGAGGAAUAUUGGGCAAUGGGCGAAAGCCUGACCCAGCAACGCCGCGUGGAGGAUGAAGGCUUUAGGGUUGUAAACUCCUUUUGUGGGGAAAGAAUGGAUGGUACCCCAAGAAUAAGUCACGGCUAACUACGUGCCAGCAGCCGCGGUAAGGCACGACUGU